AUUGGAUUAGAAUAGAGGCAGAAGCAGCCCUUUACUCCCAUAGAGGAAGUUGUUCCCACAGGAUCUAAACCAGUGUUCAGACACAUGAUAUGAUAAGCAGAAGGGAGCCGGAAUAUAGGGCUAGUACUUUGUCAUUGAACCAGUGUCACACCCCCUAGAACACAGGGAAACUCAUGUGGCCCUACAAGGAUGAAAGUGUCUUCUAGCAUCCUGAGGAAAAAUAUCUUGCAAAAAAGAAGACUUGAUAGAUGCUUUAGCAAAUACUCCUCCAUUCCCAGCAUUUUCUGUCUAUAAUUACAUUUCCCAAAAGAGGGCAACAUAUUAAAAAAGAGCUGUCAUAUUUACUGCACUCCUUCCCUUAAACUGGAUGGUGAAUUACAAAGCACAAGUGGCAAAGAGCCAAACAAUCCUUGCUCAUUUAAUCUUGUUUUCUCCUGUGCCAGUUAUUGACCAAUCAAUUGCCUUGGAUCUGGCAGGAGUGGUUUUCUCUGAGGGUCUGAGACCAACAGCAACCAGGAGCAGCUCAAACUGGAUUUCUUCUCAGCCCUGUACAUAAAGGACAUUCUUUCCUUGCUAUGGAAAAAAGCAGAUGCAAUUAGAAACUGCUAAGCUAAUAGCUAAAAUAAUGCUCUGACAGCAACAGAAACAGAAAGCGAAAACUCGGAAUUUGCGGGCAUGGAAAAUACUGCAAGGGAAGGACAGUUGAAUGUGUUCCAGGAUCCUAGGGCAGCCCCUGGCAGCUGCCCAGAGCACAGCAGGUCCCACUGCUCCUGUGCAAGGAAAGACCUUUUCUCUCACUGGAGCCCAGGCUGCUGGAAAGUGUCUCCUGAAACAACAGGACACAGGGAUAGCCCCACAACAACAUAGCUCACCUGCUGAAACAACCCCACUGAACUAGAUUCUGGAGCAUAGACAGGGAGAGGAGCUGCUAAGGGAGAUGUCACUGUGCAGGGAACACUCUACUUUCUGUCUCCUACAUGCUGGUGCCAAAGAAGAUGUGUGAGUCAUAAAUCAGAGGAAGGACGAUUACAAUGGCAGGAAAGAUGAAGUGAGCAGAAUGUUAUUGGAAUUGGGCCAUUUCUCCAAGCUCUAGGGCUGACGUGAUGCUAUUUGUUGCAUCAUUUAUUCACCUAAUAAAGUGUUCAACAAAUAUUUAUUGAGGGCCA
rnacentral:lncRNA from 1 species